rnacentral:rRNA from 1 species
ACGUCCGUCGUGAAGAGGGAAACAACCCAGACCGCCAGCUAAGGUCCCAAAGUCAUGGUUAAGUGGGAAACGAUGUGGGAAGGCCCAGACAGCCAGGAUGUUGGCUUAGAAGCAGCCAUCAUUUAAAGAAAGCGUAAUAGCUCACUGGUCGAGUCGGCCUGCGCGGAAGAUGUAACGGGGCUAAACCAUGCACCGAAGCUGCGGCAGCGAACGUAUCACUUAAAGCGAUUCAGCGGGUUACGAUUGACGGAGCGAAGCGACGUCAAAGCGUAUACAAAGUCGAGUCGGUUUAAGGAUACGUUCGUUGGGUAGGGGAGCGUUCUGUAAGCCUGUGAAGGUGUGUCGUGAGGCAUGCUGGAGGUAUCAGAAGUGCGAAUGCUGACAUAAGUAACGAUAAAGCGGGUGAAAAGCCCGCUCGCCGGAAGACCAAGGGUUCCUGUCCAACGUUAAUCGGGGCAGGGUGAGUCGACCCCUAAGGCGAGGCCGAAAGGCGUAGUCGAUGGGAAACGGGUUAAUAUUCCCGUACUUGGUGUUACUGCGAAGGGGGGACGGAGAAGGCUAUGUUGGCCGGGCGACGGUUGUCCCGGUUUAAGCGUGUAGGUGUGUGUUCCAGGUAAAUCCGGUUCACUUUAACACUGAGGCGUGACGACGAGGCACUACGGUGCUGAAGCAACAAAUGCCCUGCUUCCAGGAAAAGCCUCUAAGCAUCAGGUAACAUCAAAUCGUACCCCAAACCGACACAGGUGGUCAGGUAGAGAAUACCAAGGCGCUUGAGAGAACUCGGGUGAAGGAACUAGGCAAAAUGGUGCCGUAACUUCGGGAGAAGGCACGCUGACACGUAGGUGAAGUGAUUUACUCAUGGAGCUGAAGUCAGUCGAAGAUACCAGCUGGCUGCAACUGUUUAUUAAAAACACAGCACUGUGCAAACACGAAAGUGGACGUAUACGGUGUGACGCCUGCCCGGUGCCGGAAGGUUAAUUGAUGGGGUCAGCGCAAGCGAAGCUCCUGAUCGAAGCCCCGGUAAACGGCGGCCGUAACUAUAACGGUCCUAAGGUAGCGAAAUUCCUUGUCGGGUAAGUUCCGACCUGCACGAAUGGCGUAAUGAUGGCCAGGCUGUCUCCACCCGAGACUCAGUGAAAUUGAACUCGCUGUGAAGAUGCAGUGUACCCGCGGCAAGACGGAAAGACCCCGUGAACCUUUACUAUAGCUUGACACUGAACAUUGAGCCUUGAUGUGUAG